GGUCUGGUGGUGUAAUGGUAACAUGUCUGCUUCGUAUAUGUAUAUUCUGGUACACCUUCAGCAGGAGAAUCCUUGUUCGACCCAAGGUCAGGCCA